rnacentral:lncRNA from 1 species
UCAAAUCUCUCUUUAAUUCAUAUUGCACUCUUGUAAUUGAUUCUUUCCUUAUUGUAUUGAUUUCCCUUAUUUCUUGGAUUUGGUGGAAUAUUUUCCUUUAACUUCCGACCCCUACCUUUUCUACUUAAGUUGAUUUGGUACCCUUACCUUGAUUACAUUGGCAUGGGAUCCUUACUGACUUUUCCUUGAUUAAAGUCUGACGAACCUAGCCUCUAUUACCUAUUGUAUACUCGUAUUAUGCUGGAAAUAUUUCCUUAUUGGCCAUAUUCAACCUUAUGUGAUUUCUUUCCUUAUUUAGCAUUUGCAUGCUACUGUUUUAUUUAAUUCCUUAAUUAAAGGAAGUUUUUGAUACUAAUUUGUUUCUAAUUGACAUAUAUUUCCCUAAUUAUUUCUGAACUACAAUCCUUACUUUAUUUUCUGCCUGUUUUCACACUAUAAAUACCCUGCUCUUUCAUUGACAUAAACACACACGAACACUCAUAGAUUUUCUUAACUUAUACUCAUACUCAAACGUAUUCUCUCAUGUUACUUGUGGCCUAUUUGCAAGUCAUUCUGCCUACUUCUUUCUUUAUUUGCUUUCUUUGAACUAGUAUAUUCUAAUUAAGAUUCAUCAUCCCAAGUAUGUGUUUAUUUAACACCAUUUUCCUCCUGGAUGCCUACUUAUGUGUUUGGUUCAGUACUUGUUUAGCAUUUUUCUUUCUUCCUAUUCUACCUUUAUUAUGUAUCCUAAGUAUGUUUGACACUGAUGGUUGUUUGAGGCAUGACAACAUUAAAGUAUUAUCGUCUAUGACUUAAACUUGAUCCCUGUAGGAUCUUAACCUCAUGUUAUCAUUGAAUAUUGUAUAUUCUAGUUGUUUUUUGGAGCAAAACAGCAUUCCCUAUUGAUGUGCA